GCAGUACUUAGCCAAGUCGGAGCAGAUGGCGGCGAGCACCCCGUAGCUUACCUAAGCAGAAAACUUUUACCCAGGGAAGUAAGCUACGCCGCCAUUGAAAGGGAGUGCCUGGCUGUGGUGUGGGCCCUCAAAAAAUUGCAGCCCUAUUUAUACGGACAACCAUUUACAUUACUCACGGAUCACAACCCGUUGGUGUGGCUGAACAUGGUGUCAGGAGACAAUGCCAGGCUGCUGCGCUGGAGUUUGGUGCUGCAGCCUUUUG